UGCCUGUACCAUAACCGACACAGGUGGGUAGGUAGAGUAUACUAAGGGGCGCGAGAUAACUCUCUCUAAGGAACUCGGCAAAAUGACUCCGUAACUUCGGGAGAAGGAGUGCCUUAUUUUUAAGGUUGCAAUAACAAGAUCCAAGCAACUGUUUAUCAAAAACACAGGUCUCCGCUAAGUCGUAAGACGAUGUAUGGGGGCUGACGCCUGCCCAGUGCCAGAAGGUUAAAGAAGUUGGUUAGCACUUGCGAAGCUGAUAACUGAAGCCCUGGUGAACGGCGGCCGUAACGAUAACGGUCCUAAGGUAGCGAAAUUCCUUGUCGGGUAAGUUCCGACCCGCACGAAAGGCGUAAUGAUUUGGAUACUGUCUCGGAGAGGGGCUCGGUGAAAUAGACUUGUCUGUGAAGAUGCGGACUACCUGCACCUGGACAGAAAGACCCUAUGAAGCUUUACCGUAACUUGAAAUUGAAAUUGGACUUUACUUGCGCAGUAUAGGUGGGAGGCGUUGAAUUUAUUCUUGCGGGAAUUUAGGAGCCAUCAGUGAGAUACCACUCUGGUAAUGUUAGAUUUCUAACUUUGAAUCAUGAUCUGGUCAAAGAACAGUUUCAGGCGGGCAGUUUGACUGGGGCGGUCGCCUCCCGAAUGGUAACGGAGGCGUACAAAGGUUUCCUCUGAACGUGUAGAAAUCGUAUCUAGAGUGUAAAGGCAUAAGGAAGCUUGACUGUGAGACCUACAAGUCGAGCAGGGACGAAAGUCGGUCUUAGUGAUCUGACGGUGCUGAGUGGAAAGGCCGUCACUCAACGGAUAAAAGUUACUCUAAGGAUAACAGGCUGAUCUCCCCCAAGAGUUCACAUCGACGGGGAGGUUUGGCACCUCGAUGUCGGCUCAUCGCAUCCUGGGGCGGUAGUACGUCCCAAGGGUUGGGCUGUUCGCCCAUGAAAGCGGUACGCGAGCUGGGUUCAGAACGUCGUGAGACAGUUCGGUCCAUAUCCGGUGUAGGCGUUAGAAUAUUGAAGGAGCCUUCUUUAGUACGAGAGGACCGAGAAGGACAUACCUCUGGUGUACCAGUUAUCGUGCCAACGGUAAACGCUGGGUAGCUAUGUAUGGAGAGGAUAACCGCUGAAAGCAUCUAAGUGGGAAGCCCACCUCAAGAUAAGUAUUCUCAUCACAUAAGUGAGUAAGGUCACGGUAAGACUAACCGUUUAAUAGGCAUUAAGUAUAAAUAUAGUAAUAUAUGAGUUGAGAUGUGCUAACAGACCGAGGACUUC
rnacentral:rRNA from 1 species